rnacentral:rRNA from 1 species
AGUUGGGAAUCUUGGACAAUGGGGGAAACCCUGAUCCAGCCAUGCCGCGUGAGUGAUGAAGGCCUUCGGGUUGUAAAACUCUUUCGCGCAUGACGAUAAUGACGGUAGUGCGAGAAGAAGCUCCGGCUAACUUCGUGCCAGCAGCCGCGGUAAUACGAAGGGGGCUAGCGUUGUUCGGAAUUACUGGGCGUAAAGCGCGCGCAGGCGGCUAUCCAAGUCAGUGGUGAAAGCCCGGAGCUCAACUCCGGAACUGCCAUUGAAACUGUUUAGCUUGAGUAUGAGAGAGGUGAGUGGAAUUCCCAGUGUAGAGGUGAAAUUCGUAGAUAUUGGGAAGAACACCGGUGGCGAAGGCGGCUCACUGGCUCAUUACUGACGCUCAGGCGCGACAGCGUGGGGAUCAAA